rnacentral:rRNA from 1 species
CAGCAGCCGCGGUAAUACGAAGGGGGCAAGCGUUAAUCGGAAUUACUGGGCGUAAAGCGUGCGCAGGCGGUUAUAUAAGACAGAUGUGAAAUCCCCGGGCUCAACCUGGGAACUGCAUUUGUGACUGUAUAGCUAGAGUACGGCAGAGGGGGAUGGAAUUCCGCGUGUAGCAGUGAAAUGCGUAGAUAUGCGGAGGAACACCGAUGGCGAAGGCAAUCCCCUGGGCCUGUACUGACGCUCAUGCACGAAAGCGUGGGGAGCAAACAGGAUUAGAUACCCCUGUAGUCCCUGUCUCUUAUAC